rnacentral:lncRNA from 1 species
CCUGCAGAACAAUAAAAAGUAAUUUUACCAAAGGUAUUAGAGCCUAACUAGUCAAAUUCUUUAACCUCUCAUAAAUUAGCACCUGUCAUUUAAGUAUUUCUUAACACAUUUGAGUAUUCAGCAUGUGCCAGACCAUGGGUUAUGUGCUAAGACCAAAGUUGUAGGUUUUUUUGUUUGUUUGUUGUUGUUUUUUUUGUCUUUUUAGGGCCCCACGCAUGGCACAUGCAAGUUCCUAGGCUAGGGGUCGAAUCAGAGCUGUAGCUGCUGGCCUUCGCCACAGCCACAACAAAGUCAGAUCUGAGCUGCGUCUGCGACCUACACCACAACUGGUGGCAAUGCUGCAUCCUUAACCCACUGAGCGAGGUGAGGGAUUGAACCUGCAUCCUCAUGGAUCCUAGUCAGAUUCGUUUCCGCUGAGCCAGGACAGGAACUCCUAGAUACAAGAUUUUUGGAAUGCACUGAACAAGGUAAAAAGGGGCUCUGAGUGAGACUCUUUUUUUGUUCAGAAAGCUGGGAAGAGAUAGGACGAGAUAGGCCAGAAUACGAAGCAAUCCUCUAACUUGUCCAAAACCCACAUACUGACAAUCAAUUCUCAUUAAACCUAAGCGUGGGUGGGCGACGGCCAGAGCUGCUGUGUCUAAUUGAGCUGCGUUUGCAUUUCAAAAGGGAGCACCUGAGGCCACAUUCAAAUUAUGCUGCCAGAGGUUACAGCAGGGACUAUGAACUUUGGCAGAUAAUUUACAGUAUGAUCUUUUAUCACUUUACCCCUAGGGAAGAUUUGGUUUCUAGCAAAUUAAGUAAGAUUAUUUAAAAUUAUACGAAUGGAUGUGUGUAUAUGUACAACUGAAUCACUCUGUGGUACAAGGGACAUGAGCACAACAUUGUAAAUCAACUAUUCUUCAAAAAAACUUAAAAAAUGAAAAAAAGAAUAAUUAAAAAAACAAUACUAAAGAAAUUUGUAUGUAAGUGGAUCGUAGAAUAAUUCCCACUCUAAACAUGCUUUUGUUUCGUGAGCUAUUCUAGAAGUAAAUUUUGAAUAUUUGGGUUUGGGAAGAAUCACAAUAAAUAAAUAUCCUACUAAGCCUUACAUUGAUGUUGUCUUAGGAGUUCCCAUCGUGGCUCGGUGGUAACAAACCCGACUAGUAUCCAUGAGGGUGCGGGUUCGAUCCCUGACCUCGCUCAGUGGGUUAAGGAUCCGGUGGUGCCGUGAGCUAUGGUGUAGGCUGGCAGCUGCAGCUCCGAUUCGACCCCUAGACCCCUAGCCUGGGAUGUUACAUAUGCCUUGGGUACAGCCUAAAAAGACAAAAAAAAAAAAAAAAAAAAAAAUUUGUCUUAAAAAUUAAUCUUCAAUGAGUGAUUUCAAUUUCAGAUACAUUCAGUCUGUGAUACAUACAUACAAAGGGGACGCGUGAUCUAUAUAAGCGUAAGAUGUGAUGCAGGUCCAAGUUGUGUCCACACACAACUACUAACUGCUAGGCAGCGAGCCAAUUAUUUUGUAUUGAGAACUUCUAAGGCGACUGAAAGAAGAUUUCAAGGAGCAAUAUGCUAAUACUGACGGUGGCUGUACGCCACACCAGGUCUAUUCCACGCACAUUCUGUGCAUUAUCUCAGCUCACAACCACUCCAUGAGGUGGGUACCAUCCUAAUCCCCAUUUUUACAGACAGGGAACUGAGUUUCAAAAAGGUUAAGUCACACAGCUAAUGAGAAGCAGGACCAGGAUAAUCCCGCAGGGUGGCGUCACUCUUAUUUUUUUCACCACCAGGCUGUAGGUGCUGCAGUAACAAAGCCUGCGUCACUGGAGGAAGGUUUCCUGGGGUUGGAAGGCAACUCCGUACAAGGCAAGAAUUUUUGUCUGGGGGGGCGCGGGUCACAGAUAGGAUUAGAUCAUCAGUUCAGACUCAGCCCCAAGAACUUACCAGUAACAAGAUUUGCUAAUUAUUUCAAAGACACAUUCGGGCCAGAAACACAGACAAAACCAAGGAGCACAGGAAGACUCACGUGGCUUCCCGGGCUUUUAUUUCCCGCGCUGGCCCAGAACAAUGGUCCGCACUUUGAAGGUACAGCCCAGAGAGAGUGAGCGAGCGUGUGUGACCUUCUCCCAGGAGCCUGUCUCACAGAUUCCGGGUUUAUAUGCUGGACGUAAUCCUUUAGGCGAGGACAUCCUGCUAAACUCAUCCAACAGUUAAGGGUCUCUUUUUCCCAGCAAAUAUCAUUUCUCCAUGAACUCAGCUGACAAGGAGAUUAGAAAGAUCACCCGGCUCCUUUUAUUCCCCCCUCGGGAUAAUCCCACCGUAAAGAAAGCAGUAGAUCUCCAACCAGAUGUUAGAACAUCCUGCUCCUGGUUAUGGGUGCAGCCCAGACCUUAAUGCCUUGCCUGGGACAUAGCAGGCACUCAAGAUACAUUUGUCCAACAAAUGGACAAAUGGACACAGCCCAAGUCUUUUCUUUAUAUUUCUGGACCAUGAUGCUCACCCUUACCUUGAGGACAGCCUCAGGACAGCACGAAACCUGCGGGUAAAUGUUAAAAUAGCAACUUUCACUCAAGAGGCACCCAAAACUUUGUAAGUGGUGCAAGUGGCAUGGCUUUGGCAAAAUUCUGAUAGGCUGGGACACAGAGGAGGGGAGAAGUCAUUUCCACCAACUUCACCAGCGUCCUUGCAUUUUCGAAGCUCCCAAAAUUCACCAUGCGAGGGACACCAGUGUCCCUGAAGGAGGCAGGGUUACUGGUGGAUGUGUAGCAUCCAGUGGUGCGCUAUCUCAACCCGGGUACUAGGGGUGCCACGUAGAGAGGUGACAGUGAGUACAGCUGACAGUGACUUCCUCAGCACUAAGUAUGUGCCAGGCACAUAAUGCUGAAUAAGCUGACCAAAGAAAGAAAUUGAAGAGGGUGGGGGGGAGGAGAGCCAAAGGCCACUGAACACCCCUGCUGUCCUCAGCCUGGUGUCAGGCUCUGAUCACAGAGGAGGGGAGACGAGCCCUGACUCACUCCUACCCUGGGGACCUGAAGGUUUCUAAGACCAAACAAAGGCUGGGGCGGGGAAGCCCGUGGUGGGGAGGGGGUUACCAGGACUUGGGCAUUAGGAGGAAUGGGAAACUGGAGCCUGAUGAAGGCUGGAGGAUGUGAAGGAUGCCCUCAAGGUCUGGGGAGGGAAGUGCCAGGCUUACAUUCAGGGUGGGGCUGAGAGUUUGAUUGAAAGGCGCCCACAGCAAAUUUUCACCAUCCAUCCCACCAAACACACUCUUCAAAUGCUCUUGCUGAGUAGUUUGGAGUCGGUUUUCCAGGGCUAAGGAUGGUGUGAAACCUCCUUUGGGGGUUUUUUUAUGUGUGUUGAACUGCUUGUUAGUGGGAAAGGAAAGGACACCACUCAACUCUGAAGGGAUGAUGCAUGUACCCUCACCCCCCCGCAGGGGAUGCUGGAGAUAAACCCAGUGUGAGUGACGGGCGGUUAUGCAAACCCACCAUAGGGAGCCCUUGACCAACUAGUGGUUGAGACUGAUUGUUCUGGCUCCCUGUUCCUCAUCUCCAAAAGGCACCAUGGGCCACAGAUGAAGUAUGCGGUGUACAAGGCGGGGGCUCACAGUUUGAAUAUAUCCAGGCAGACACCCUGAUUGAGUGAACAGACAUUCUUCAUCCAUCACACUUUUCAACCUGGCUCAAAGGUCUCUUUUAUGAAGCUUUCUGAAGAACCAUGCAUCUUUAUCAUUUCUAGGCAGAAUUCCAUUUUGUUCUCCCACUGCAUUUAUUUAUGCUUCGUAUUAUUUAUCUCCAUGCAAAAUGAUGAACAAUAAUCCUUUAAAAAGCGGAUAGGGAAUACAUCAACUGGCUGGUCUAUUUCUAUUCAAUUUCAAUUAACUUUCUAAAAAUAAUUUUCGGGAGCGAUCUGAAAUCAUCAGUCUCAAGCUCUGCAGGUGACAGAUCACAGAGAUUUAGUGUAUUGAUUUAUUUAUCGCACGCUGCCCGAGUAACCCUGUACUCUCAGUGUUAAAGGGAUUAUGUAGCAGAUUUCUUCCCUCUAUUGGUACAUUUCUCUAGUCUUGGGGGCUCUCCUUCCCUCCUUAAUACCCAUUUCCUCCUACCUACCCAUCAUUCAUCUCAGUUCAAGUGUUGCCAUUCAACUGCACCAUCUGAUGCCCCCUUCUCCCCCAGCGCCGCAGUCCCGGGCACAGCUAGUGAAUAUGUGGUACAUGCUAUCAAAGCAUUUACUAUCUACCUCUGAUAAUGUGUUUUUCAAGAACAAGACAUUCGGAGUUCCUGUUGUGGCUGAGCGGGUUACCAGAACCCAACUAGUAUCCAUGAGGACGUGGGUUUGAUCCCUGGCCUCGCUCAGUUGGGUUAAGGAUCGGGUAUUGCCACAGUCUGUGGUGUAGGUCCCAGAUGUGGCUUGGAUCUGGGGUUGCUGUGGUUGUGGCAUGGUGGCUACGGCUCCAGUUUGACCCCUCGCCUGGGAGCUUCCAUAUGCUGCAGGUGUGGAC